UUUGCAGAGGACGCUUCGGCGUCGGCCCCGGGCCAAGUCCUCUGGAACGAGGCGCCAUAGAGGGUGAGAGCCCCGUUCUCUCCCGGGCCGCCGUCUCCGUAAGAAGCUCCUUCGAAGAGUCGAGUUGUUUGGGAAUGCAGCUCUAAGCGGGAGGUAAAUUCCUUCUAAAGCUAAAUACCGGCCAGAGACCGAUAGCGCACAAGUAGAGUGAUCGAAAGAUGAAAAGCACUUUGGAAAGAGAGUCAAAAAGCACGUGAAAUUGUUGAAAGGGAAGCUCUUGCUGCUAGACUUGCCGCGGUCGCUCACCCGCCCCCCGGGGCGGCGCAUUCGUCCGUCGGCAGGCCAGCGUCGGUUCGGGCGGCCGGAUAAAGGUCCCGGGAACGUAGCCCCCCUCGGGGGGUGUUAUAGACCGGGGCGUAACGCGGUCAGUCCGGUCCGAGGCUCGCGCCCUCGCGCGAG
rnacentral:rRNA from 1 species